AGGAGCCGUGUACGAGGUCCGUACGCACGGUUCUGUGGGAGGGCUGAGGCGUAAGCCUCACCCUACCUAAU
rfam:Chromatiales bacterium (ex Bugula neritina AB1) isolate AB1-2 AB833_contig000033, whole genome shotgun sequence.